rnacentral:rRNA from 1 species
AAUGAACGUUGGCGGCGUGGAUUAGGCAUGCAAGUCGCGCGAGAAAUUUCCUUCGGGAAAUGGACAGCGGCGGAAGGGAGAGGAAUAAGUAGAAAUCUGCCCUCGGGACGGGGAUAGCGGUGGGAAACUGCCGGUAAUACCCGAUAACAUCUUUGGAUCAAAUGGUGUGAUUCCGCCUGAGGAUGAGUCUACUUCCUAUUAGCUAGUUGGUGGGGUAAUGGCCUACCAAGGCAACGAUGGGUAGCGGGUGUGAGAGCACGACCCGCCUCACUGGGACUGAGACACUGCCCAGACACCUACGGGUGGCUGCAGUCGAGAAUCUUCGGCAAUGGGGGAAACCCUGACCGAGCGACGCCGCGUGCGGGAUGAAGGCCCUUGGGUUGUAAACCGCUGUCGUAAAGGAACAAAUCCAUAGGGGUACUCCCCUAUGGUUGAGUGAUCUUAGGAGGAAGGACGGGCUAAGUUCGUG